rnacentral:rRNA from 1 species
GGGGGGGGGGGUGAAUACCACAACCUCAACUCGUUUUUUAACAAGCUUGGGAUUUCGCACCGCGUGUCAUGCCCCCACACACAUCAGCAGAAUGGUGCUGCCGAGCGUAAGCAUCGUCAUCUUGUUGAAACUGGCUUAACCUUGCUAGCUCAUGCGUCUGUCCCGUUUCGGUUCUGGAGUGAUGCUUUCUCUAUAGCUUGUUUUCUUAUAAACAGGCUUCCCUCGAGGCUCCUGAAAAUGCAAACCCCGCUUGAGCUCCUGCUUAAUGAGAUUCCGGACUACACUUUCUUCAAAGUGUUUGGGUGUGCAUGUUGGCCUCACCUCCGUCCAUACAACAAGUGCAAGCUAGAGUUUAGGUCUAAGAAGUGUGUCUUUCUUGGGUACAGUUCUCUUCACAAAGGGUACAAGUGCUUACAUGUUCCUACCAACCGCGUCUACAUCUCUUGUGACGUUGUGUUUGACGAAAAUGUAUUUCCUUUUCGUGCACUUCCGACUGACCUUACCACUUCCACUUCCACACCACCA